UACGUAGGGUGCGAGCGUUAAUCGGAAUUACUGGGCGUAAAGCGUGCGCAGGCGGCGCCGCAAGUCAGGCGUGAAAUCCCCGAGCUUAACUUGGGAAUGGCGCUUGAAACUACGGUGCUGGAGUGUGGCAGAGGGAGGUGGAAUUCCACGUGUAGCGGUGAAAUGCGUAGAGAUGUGGAGGAACACCGAUGGCGAAGGCAGCCUCCUGGGCCAACACUGACGCUCAUGCACGAAAGCGUGGGGAGCAAACAG
rnacentral:rRNA from 1 species